AUGAGAAAAAAUGAACCAAGAAAGAGGAGGACACCAGCUGAAGAGGACAGCAGAUCAAGCCCCGAAAGUUGCAGAGGUCCUAGACUCCUCCACCCACAUCCUCCAGUGCAGCUUCACAACGAGCUCAGGAGUAACCAGGGUGGGGGCCAGCUCAGGCCUCUGCCCAGAGGGUUUCAAGGAAGCUGUCACUCAGAGUAUUUGAAGUCUGCCCGGGACACACUGGCCCUUCUGCAGCCACUAGGAGCCCCGGAAUGGAAGGUCAGGAUGCUCUCAGACAGGGGUCUUGCUAUCCGGCCCAGACUGAUCUUUAACUCCUAGACUCUAUCAGCUUCCUGAGGAGGUGAGACUACAGGAAUGGCAUCCCUCUGGGCCCGGAUGGGUUUUCACCUGGGAAGCUGACUGCGUGUUUAAAAUGUAAAGCACGUGGGCCAUACGACAUGUCACAUGCUUGCACUUUCCCCCAAAAGACACCAACUAAACACCAAAUAAAUAAAUUGAUUAAUUAACCUAAAGCUGGGUGAUAAAUAAAUAAAUAAGUAAAACCUAAAGCCACACCUAGGCUUAUACACUCUCAGGGUUGAUGAUUCAUUCCUUUCUGGUAUUGUGCCAUUCUCUAGAUUUGAA